AAAUAAAACAAAUUUACACAAAAAACAACCAGCCUCAUUAAAAAGUGGGCAAAGGACAGGAGGAGACACUUUACAAGAGAAGACAUAUAUGUACAUGGACAACAAACAUAUGAAAAAUUGCUCAAUAUUAUUAAUCAUUAGAGAAAUGCAAAUCAAUGCCAUAACGAGAUACCAUCUCAUACUAGUCAGAAUGACUAUGAUUAAAAAGUCAAAAAAUAACAGAUGCUCGUGAGGUUGUGGAAGAAGGGAGCUCUUAUACACUGCUUGUGGGAAUGUCAAUUAGUUUAGCCAUUGUGGAAAGCAGUAUGGCAAUUUCUCAAAAAAUUUAAAACAGAAUUACCAUUUGACCCAG